AUGUCUUCACCGAGGGAGUUUUCCUGGGUCGUGCUGAGGAAACACGUCCCGGUCUUCGACGCCGAGGAGAAGGAGCAGGAAGACAAGAUCAUGGCCAAGGCGAGCAAAGAUUGGGGGGACAUCGAGAAAGGGUCCUGGAUACUGGACCAGUUCUCGCUCGACGCGCACCUCGUCGAGCCGCCGGAGCUCUCCACCUUGUCCGUGCGCGCCAAGAUCGAGACGCAGGAGCGCGGCUUCGGGUGCGUCCUCGACUCCGUCGUGGAGAACUACCUCGUCAUGACUCUGGUGUUCUGCGACAGGCGGUACGGGCUCGUCUACGACGCCGCCAAGAACUCGCUCUCACUGCUCCCCGCCACCAUGGAUUCCUUCGCGGGCUACGACAUCGCGUCGAGAGUUGAUUCUGUGCCCUUCUUCUUCCUGAGGGAACCUGCUGUCCUGCCACGCGACGACGGUUCCUACGAUCUGUUCAAUCUGGGGUUCCGUUUCGCUACACGCGACAGAGUGUUGCAGGGGUCGUCGGGCAUCAUCUUCCGGUGGUCGAGCCAUGCCGCUGGCAAGAAGUGGACGAAGCAGGAGGCGCGCUUCAGCCCGCAUACCCAGGUGCCGCGCCAGCCGGCGGACAAAGUAGACGCGGCCUUCACUUUCAAAGGGAAGGAGUGCCAAGGCCGUGACUUCUCCCGCAGUUACCCCAAGGAUCGUCGGACCAUGGGCCCUGUCGGGGACUCCAUAAAGCUCAUCUCCAUUGUCACCAUCAGUGGCGACAACCCCCGUGACAACACGCCCCCUGCUGACGUUGUGCUGCGGAGCUGGACUCUGUCGCCAGACCUUCACUCAUGGACGAGAGAUGAAGACAUGGAGCUGCCCUUGCCGCUGCUCUGGCAGUCGGAGGCCUACAAGCGUGAGAGGCUGCCGCAGGCCAUGCCGCAGUGCCCAGUCCUCAAGGCCGACGAGGAUGGUGUCCUCUACCUCUUGCUGGGAGAUUACUACAUCGAUUGGGAGGGAGGGGCUCGGCUAUGCAGGGAGAUUGAGUGUGUGAUCAGCAUCAACAUGCGCACAAAGUCUCUCCUGUCCUGCAGCCAUCGUCCGAUCAAAGAUGGCUUACCAGCGCCACCGCCGUGGAGAGUCGAGCCUUCCAAAGAUUUCCAUCCUGACAUACCUACCCUGCUUGCUGUCAAGUUCUGUGCGAGCCACACUGGAUUGUCUGAUGGUCUUCUGCACAAGGAAAAGAAGAAUCGUCUGAUAUAG
rnacentral:rRNA from 1 species